rnacentral:rRNA from 1 species
CAGUAGCCGCGGUAAUACGAAGGGUGCAAGCGUUACUCGGAAUUACUGGGCGUAAAGCGUGCGUAGGUGGUGGUUUAAGUCCGUUGUGAAAGCCCUGGGCUCAACCUGGGAAUUGCAGUGGAUACUGGGUCACUAGAGUGUGGUAGAGGAUAGUGGAAUUUCCGGUGUAGCAGUGAAAUGCGUAGAGAUCGGAAGGAACAUCUGUGGCGAAGGCGACUAUCUGGGCCAACACUGACACUGAGGCACGAAAGCGUGGGGAGCAAACAGGAUUAGAGACCCCCGUAGUCCCUGUCUCUUAACA